rnacentral:rRNA from 1 species
AUUGAACGCUGGCGGCAGGCCUAACACAUGCAAGUCGAGCGGAUGAAGGGAGCUUGCUCCUGGAUUCAGCGGCGGACGGGUGAGUAAUGCCUAGGAAUCUGCCUGGUAGUGGGGGAUAACGUCCGGAAACGGGCGCUAAUACCGCAUACGUCCUGAGGGAGAAAGUGGGGGAUCUUCGGACCUCACGCUAUCAGAUGAGCCUAGGUCGGAUUAGCUAGUUGGUGGGGUAAAGGCCUACCAAGGCGACGAUCCGUAACUGGUCUGAGAGGAUGAUCAGUCACACUGGAACUGAGACACGGUCCAGACUCCUACGGGAGGCAGCAGUGGGGAAUAUUGGACAAUGGGCGAAAGCCUGAUCCAGCCGUGCCGCGUGUGUGAAGAAGGUCUUCAGAUUGUAAAGCACUUUAAGUUGGGAGGAAGGGCAGUAAGUUAAUACCUUGCUGUUUUGACGUUACCAACAGAAUAAGCACCGGCUAACUUCGUG